GCUCCCGGGUCCCAAGGGUGGGGCGGGGGCUCAGGCACAGAAUCGAGGGCGGAAAGGGGAGGUGGGGAUUGCGAUGCCGGGAGCCCCCGCGGGCCAUGGGUGCACGGGCGGGAAACCCCACGGAGCCCAAGGCGCCUGCGAGGGGACCUGCGCGGAGGGCAUUUAGCCUCCUUUGGUUUGAGACCUACAGCCUGAUGAAGGGAAACGGAGGAGAUCCAAGUUCCCAAGUACACCAUGAUGCCCUUCCAGGUGACUGGUAAGGGGAUCUUAACCCUUGAGUUGGUGUUGUCAGCACCACACUCACCCAGUGAGCGAACCGGCCAUCCCUAUAUGGGAUCCGAACCCGUGGCCUUGGUGUUAUCAGCACCACACACUCCCGAGUGAGCCACGGGCCGGCCCCAGUACCUUGAUCU